UGCGCGAGAGGAAUAUCACCAUCCGAAAUGCCAGUGGAAGAAUCAUUGAAAGAAAUGACGAUCCUAUUGACGUUGUAGACGCAACGACACUAAUGGUCUUUCAUGACUUGGGUAUACUAGGAGCAAGAAUGGAUGAGAAAAAAGGAAUAAAUGGAAUCAUUUUAUCAAAUUUCCAACUUUGUUUACCAUGGUCGCGCGAGGUAAAAAAAGUUGCCCUCUGCUGUGGACUAGUUGUACAUCCCCUCCUCUCCUGAUUUCGAGCACCUGAAUUCUUUUGUAGGGGGUUACACCACAGAUGGGCCCCCCAGAUGACAUUCGUUUUGACCUUCCGCCUAAGAACCUGUCUAGGCUAAAAAUAGGUUCUUAUUACCAGUUUAUGUUUGUAUUCUUAAUACCGCAAAAAUCUCAAAAUACUAAAAUUUACCGAUUUCAUUAACAGGGCGGACACUACCAGGCCACCUUUUCCGACCUUUGUUUGGUAGUGUUGUGCCCAACCCUUGCUGGAGACCCAGAAGUAAGGGCCACUAUUGACUUAAGCAAUGUUACCCAGGAUCGCAUACAAGCUGCUGUAGCAGAGGCUGAGGCGAGACUGGCCCUUACAACCGAAUCAAUGUGAGUUUUGUUGAUUGUCUUGAAUCACCAUCACCAUCC